CUGGAUAAUUGCGUAGUACACGAUUUGAGACAUUGACCUCAGGACCAGAAGAAAAUACACGACAUGGUGUAAUUUGGACCCUGCGUACAUAUACCAACCCAGAAUCUAAGGAUAUGACAGAUGACUGUGGACGUCUCUUUGACGUGAGGUACUUCCUGUACUGCUCAUUAAGCCACUCUGAAGGUUUAUAGCAGGUCUCUUUCAAAUUAUAUAAUUUCUCUAGGGCAUACUCUAUACAUGCACGAUCAAAUCUGUGCGGAUCAACCAUCUUAUAAAAUAUAACAUCAAGUGUUGGCCCUGAAAGAUACCCAAGCUGAAGCAGAGAAUGAACUUUAAACAAGAUAUCAUAUGGCACAUACACAUUGACACCUCGAGGAGGACAAACCAUGGGACCCAGACUCGGGUUGCAAGAAUAAGGGGGACCAACCUCCAAGACAAGGUUACCUUCAAUCUCUUCAUACCCAGGAAAGUUUUCUCGAAAAUCUGGAAGUUGGAGACUAUGAGGAAGCUCCAAGCUUAAUGCAAAAGACUGCCCAAUAGCACGUGAUGGAGUGAAAUCAGUAGUCCUGACCCAUUGAUCAUCAGAGUCCAUGAAAUAGGUCAUACCAAGAUCUUCAUAUGCUUGUCCUGAAGAGCGUAUGACUUUCUUAGAAAUCCGAGGUGCUCCGUACAUCUGAUAAUUGGAGACAAAUCAUCAAACUUUUCAAGAUUACUAAUUCAUAAAAGAGAACAUUUAAUUUUUCGCCAACUGCAGUAGCAUGCUUUGACGAUGUUAAUAAAAAUAUUCCAUUCAUACUAUAUUCUCAGAAUUUUAUCCACUUCCCUCAACACCUCAAAUUGUAGAAACUACAAACUUUUAAAUUCCAUCAAACGAAGAAAAUUGAUUUUUGCUCAAAUCCAGACAAGGAUUACCAUGUUAACCCUUAAAGUGAACAACCCUCAAUUCUCUAGACUGGUGAUUUGACGCUCACCAAUUUGCUAGAAAUGGGAAAGCAGAAAAAGGUCACAUAUAUUUAGAAGCAAAUGCACCAUGUAGAUGAUAUAAAAUUAUUCAAUCGUAAACAGAACAAGGAUUAGGAGAAGACAAUCAUUUGAAUUUAACUGCUGAUUAAAAAUAGGUGAGGAACCUGAAUCAGAAGAUGCUUAGCAGCACAACCGCGUGGACGAUGCAACUCAAUCUGCCAGAUGUUUUCAUAGGAAAGUUCGAUCAUAUACUCCAGAGCGUCAUAUUUCAGACGACAAACUAGUUUCCGCAAUCCAAUCCCAAAAUCCACUGAAACAUUGUUCAUAUUCCAGAAACUAAAUAGCUUAUUUGUUGCGAUCUUGCAGCCAAAAUCCAGCUUUAUGUUUUCAAAGGUAUGCAAAGAGCCUCUUGGCUUUGGUACAAUAUCCUGAUCCAGCUUCCAAGAAUUCAGAUAGGAAGCGCCAUAGUACAAGUUUCUAGCACUGGCCAUGUAGUGAAUAAGAUCAGCAUUUUUGGUGGUGUCAAACUGAACAGUAGCAUAAUAUCUUCUCCCAUCUUUGGCUUUUCUUAAUCUCACAGCAUAGACAGAUCCUUUUCCUGUUUCUUUCUCCAGCAACCGCACAACUGCUUCUGCAGUCACACCGGAAGUGAAUCCAUGCAACCUUAUCGUCCUACUCAUCUCUUAUCAUGUGAAUAUGUUCACUGUAUUUACGCUGACAAAGAAUCCAUAUGAGUAAAAUGUACUUGUAUGGUUUUAUUGAAAUUAUGAAAUUAAGGGCUCGUUUGGGAGAGCUUUUUAAAUGACUAAAAGCGCAUUUGGGGAAAAUGUUUUUGGGUUCCAAAAGCACUUAAACUGCUUCCUACGAGUAGUGGUGCUUCUUGUAGGAAGCACUUCAAGUGCUCUUCCACCAGUUAUGUGCUUGUUUUAGGAAGCAGUACUUCAAGUGUUUUUCCAAAAUUCACCCGCAUUUUUACUAAAGGUUGGUUCCAAAAAUAUUUUUUCACAAAACGCUUUCAGCUAUUUUAAGACAAUAGCAGUUCCAACCGAAAACCAGAAAGUCUCAAUGAAUCCAAGAAAAUACAACAACAACAAAGCCUUUUCCCACUAAGUGGGGUCGGCUAUGUGAAUCCUAGAACGCCAUUGCGCUCGGUUUUGUGUCAUGUCCUCCGUUAGAUCCAAGUACUCUAAGUCUUUUCUUAGGGUCUCUUCCAAAGUUUUCCUAGGUCUUCCUCUAACCAAGAAAAUAAAUUGAAAUUAUUAAGCUAAGAACAAUUAUGAACCUCAUAAACCAAAGCCACUCAAAUGCAAAACAUGCAACAACCUAACAAGUAUAUGAUUAUUUUUAGGGGAUCAACAAUCAGAAAGAACACGAUGAUAAUUCUGCUCUACAAAAAAAUAAAAGCAAAACAACCAAAAAGGAGAGGCCUUUUUUUUUAUGCAAUUGCAGUUGAGAGAAAAUGUGCUUCUUACGAGAAGUUUAAGUGUUUUUCAUGAUUCACUUGCAUUUUUAUUAUAGAUUAGUCCCAAAAACAUUUUUUCACAAAAAAAAAAAAAACGCUCUCAGCUAUUUUAAAAGCAGUUCCAAACGAUCCCUAAGAGAAGCAGAAAGUCUGGAUGUAUCCAAGAAAAGUUAAGGUAAGAACAAAUAUGAACCUCAUAACCCAAAGCCACCCAAAAGCAAAACAUGUAACAACCUAGCAAGUAUAUGAUUAUUUUUUAGAGGAUCAGAUCAACAAUCAGAAAGAACAAGAUGAUAAUUCUGCUAUACAAAAAAGAUGCAAAACAACCAAACAAAGAGAGGCCUUUUGUUAUGCAAUUGCAGUUGAGAGCAAAAGCACAGAUUUUUUCACUGAACAAAACUAAGCACAAAAAUACCCAAUCCAUCCAAAAUUAUAAAAAAUUCAGAACGAAAAAAAACUGGACAAAUACCCCAAUGAAUCUCCCAAUGAUGCAGGAAGAGUAAAGGACACAGAUUUAUCAGAGGGAGAAACCCAAAGAGGAAAUUACACAGGCAAAAAUACCAUCUGCAUAAAAACUUGAUCAAACACAACUAAUCAAUCACACACCAACAAAAACUACAGAGAAAAAACAGAAACUGCAGAGACAAUUAGGGUGCGUUUGGUACGCAGACGGGACGGGACGGAAUAGGACGGAACGGGACGGGACGGAACGGAACGAAGGUGUAAUUUUUUGAAAAAUACAUGGGGUAUAUUUGUCUUAAAAUGGUAAAACAAUGUGUUCCACAGACGUGGAACAAACCCGUUCCAGGGGGAAGUGGGACGCAAAANUUCGAUGGACUCAAGUACAUAACGGUUAUAUGCAUGUUAACUGGAAGAUGUGAUGAUAUUGAUUUUUUCAAUCGAAAUCAGUGUUCUUGAUUUUUACAUUAUAUAAUCUACUGCAAACACAUAAAGACACAGAAUGGAUAUUUUGAACUAAAUUCACGAACUCAUGAUGCAUUACACAUUCUUACCUUGGUCCUUUUUGGGGAAAAACAACACAAUCAACCAUAUGGUACAACUCUGGCACAUCCACAGCCUUUAAAACACGUACAUCGCCAGGGUGCAAACAAGGGUUCUUAGCAACAGCUACCUUCCCCACAAUAAUGAAUCGCUGGUUUGAUGCACUUACAGUAUGCCUGUUACCAGAGAAUUGCACAAACACCUCACCAUAUUCCAAUGUUCUGGUUUCAUCUAGACAUCCCAUCAUUGCUCGUCCAUCUGGAAUAAAGAUUCUUGUUUUCGUCCGCAACUCUAGCAACUUUGAUGCCCGAAAUGUUUGCAGCAUCAUUGAAAUGAAGGGUUCAACAUCAGGUUUAUAACCACAUAUAAGCAAUUCCUUCAAGCAGUUGGUAGUCUCCCCUGCAGACAUCAAAUCCAGAGCCUCUUGUGCUUUUAGUGGGUCAGUCAAUAUAGCAUUCAAUUGUUGUACAGCUGCCUUUUGUUUUUUCAUGAAAGCAGGAUCUGGAACCCCAAGGGUGGAUAAAAGACUUAUCAACUGGCGGUUCAGAAAACAAGGUUGAAUCUUGCUACAUGCUAAAACGUCUAACUUUGUGUUUUCUGAUUCAUACUUGGACAUGCUCCUCCUCAAUGAUAAUUUCAUUGAUGAAGUUGGAUCAACGGCCACCACACCUUUGUACCCACCAUAUCGAAUCUGAAAGGCAGAUGGAGUCCCAUUAAAGCCACAUUUUGAGGCCACUUUCUUAGCAAAAUCAGCAGAUAUUUUCCCAAUCCCAUCGGAGAAGACAUAUUUAUUGUUUUCUACAUCGGGAAUAACUUCCAUUUCAUGUUUUCCAACAUUUAAAGUUUCAGUGGACGAACCAAAGGAUUGACCUAAUCUGGCAGCAUAUUUUGCUACAUUUUUUAUACGACGAAAAUCCCCCAUCCACUCUCUUAUAUUGGCUGCAGUAAGUCCCCGUCUUGAAGCAAACAUCCACAUAGAAUUCUCUCGCAAUUGACUUGAUGAGAAUGCGAGAAACUCGAAUUUCUUUUCACCAAUUACUAUGCCGUUUCUGAGAAUAAAAAGAAUCCGCUUGUAGAUGUCGGUUUUCCCAUCCUCAUAGGCAGCAGAAGUACGUGGAAGCAAAUCUGAAGAAUAAACUCGAUCCAUCUCCUCGUCAACAAAGGAAACACGAAUGAAGUUAUCAAUAUCAUCUGGAUAAUUGCGUAGUACACGAUUUGAGACAUUGACCUCAGGACCAGAAGAAAAUACACGACAUGGUGUAAUUUGGACCCUGCGUACAUAUACCAACCCAGAAUCUAAGGAUAUGACAGAUGACUGUGGACGUCUCUUUGACGUGAGGUACUUCCUGUACUGCUCAUUAAGCCACUCUGAAGGUUUAUAGCAGGUCUCUUUCAAAUUAUAUAAUUUCUCUAGGGCAUACUCUAUACAUGCACGAUCAAAUCUGUGCGGAUCAACCAUCUUAUAAAAUAUAACAUCAAGUGUUGGCCCUGAAAGAUACCCAAGCUGAAGCAGAGAAUGAACUUUAAACAAGAU
rnacentral:lncRNA from 1 species